rnacentral:lncRNA from 1 species
UGGGAGACCAUGGAGCUGUUGGUCAGAAAAGCCACCCUCUGUUUCCCCUCCCCCAUGAGCUGUAGGGGCUUCCCACCCCACUAGGACAAGGCUUGGUCAUGUGACUUGUUUUAGCCAAAGGGAUGUUCACUGUAGGCAAAAGCUUCCUGUAUUUCUGCCUGUCAAGAAGGCUCCUUCACCCCCUCACCCCAAAGCUGCUGUUCCCCUAGCAGGGCUCCCAGUAGACACAGCUCCACCCACAAUUUGGAGCCAAGUCCAGCUGGGCGUACAGCUUCCACAGCCCCAGUUGGCUGCCUACACCCUCCACAAGUCCACAGUCCUGAGAGGGAAUGAUCAUGUGUUAAGCCCCUGAUUCUAGCCUGGGAGCGCGAGUUUCCAGCUCACCUCUGAUCCCAUUCUCAUGGGUACCGGCCACAUACCCAAGGUCUCAGUAAUCCUGGAAUAUUCUUUUGAUUGCCAUGUAUCUUGAGCAUUUGGAUUUGCUUUUUCCAGCUACUUUGAGGUAUGAUUUACAUAAAAUAAGCUUGGUCAAUUCAUAGACAUGGGGCCUGUUUCCAUGCGGCUUAUAAUUAUGGGGAUCAGACAGUCCCCAAAUGUUAGAGCUUAGAAGGUGCUUUGGGGUUCACGGACUGAAGCUGCAUUUUCAUUUGAUCAUCCAGAAGUGACUUUCAGAGCAGGGAGAGUGGCAAGGCUGGAAAGUCUGGCUCCCGGCUACACGAUCCAUCUACAGCACUGUCAGAUCCCUCAGCAGCAGGGUCUGAGUCACCAGGCAAGCAGAGCUCAGCAGAUGCAAAAUGAACAUAGCCCACUGCCCCUUUCCUGCAGUAUCGGAUGACAGCAGAGACAUCAAGAAGGGCACAAUGCUUAGUGACCUCACGCAGACCCAAGUACUUGGGGGACAAGACCAGAGGGAAGCAGGUCCACUCAGCUUCCACAGGACCCCCGAUCCUGCCUUGUGCAUCAUCCCCACAAACAGUCUGGCAGGCAUGACUGAAAUUCUGGAUCUGGGGGAGCUGCAAGAACUCAGCAACCCCAAGGGCAGAGGAGCAAUCACUGUUGUGCUACCACGUGGCAGACACCUCUCUUUCUCUCUCAAUUGGCCAGCACUGCCUACUCACUAAAGUCUCCGAGUUGAACAAGACAAAGUUCCUACCCUCACACAGCGUGUGACUGAGUGGACCAGCACCUACUAAACCUCUGAACUGUAAUCAUGUCUAGACACAUCGGUGUGUAUAUUGGCCACAUGAUACAGGGUAAGUGCUAGGAAGAAAAUUAAGCAGGAAAAAGGGCACAGAGUGAAGGGGACAGAAGGGUGAUUUAGAUGGAAAGUUCCGGAGGGGACAAGGACAUUGAAGGGGGAGACCCCAGGGAGAUGGGGAGCAGGUCGCUA